rnacentral:tRNA from 1 species
AUUUAUGUAGUUUAAAUCAAAAAACAUAUCAUUUUCAAUGAUAAAAUAAAGUAUUUUCAUAAAUU